AUACGGAGGGUGCGAGCGUUAAUCGGAAUUACUGGGCGUAAAGCGUACGUAGGCGGUUGGUUAAGUUAGAUGUGAAAGCCCCGGGCUUAACCUGGGAACUGCAUUUAAAACUGGCGAACUAGAGUUGAGUAGAGGGGAGUGGAAUUUCAGGUGUAGCGGUGAAAUGCGUAGAGAUCUGAAGGAACACCAGUGGCGAAGGCGACUCCCUGGACUCGAACUGACGCUGAGGUACGAGAGCGUGGGUAGCAAACGGGAUUAGAAACCCCGGUAGUCC
rnacentral:rRNA from 1 species